UAUAACUAGAGAAACAUAACCAAGCAGAACAUAUAAUGAAGAAGCAGCAAGAACCAAUCGACAAACAUCGAAGAUUUAAAUUGUACACGAGACAACUACAGAUUCAACUAUAGCGGUUAGGUGAAAUUCUCGCCACGAAGAAAACGGCUACAGUAACAUGUCUGGAAGUAUAUUCAUAUCAAGAGAAAGAUAAACACAACGAGUGAUUCAAUUAAUCUCAACUGCGACAUGCAAUAUCUUGAUAUGGGACUCUUACAGUGUACCUCAUAAACGGUAAAUCAAUUAUCUGUUUCUUGGGUUCUAGUUUCUUCUAAGAACUACCUUAAGCCAUCUGUUAUUACCUGUUGCCAAGCCGAUACCAACAACAUUAACUGUGAAUCAAAUCCCAUCGUCUUUUCACUGGUCAGUACCUUUUUACGCCUAACGAACACACAGACACAAAAACAUGCGAACACUUACAAACUUCCAACAUCAAACAUGAUUGAAAGAGCCUCGUGUAGAGAAAGAGUGUA